CGACCUCAGAGCAGGCGAGAUUACCCGCUGAAUUUAAGCAUAUUAUUAAGCGGAGGAAAAGAAACUAACCAGGAUUUCCUUAGUAGCGGCGAGCGAACAGGAAAGAGCCCAGCACCGAAUCCCGCGGUUCCGCCGCAGGGAAAUGUGGUGUUUGGGAGGAUCCGCUUAUCCCGAGGUGCCGCGUCGCGUCCAAGUCCAUCUUGAAUGGGGCCACUUACCCGUAGAGGGUGCCAGGCCCGUAGCGACCGGUGCGCGCCUCGGGAGGAUCUCUCCUUAGAGUCGGGUUGCUUGAGAGUGCAGCUCUAAGUGGGUGGUAAACUCCAUCUAAGGCUAAAUACGACCACGAGACCGAUAGCGAACAAGUACCGUGAGGGAAAGUUGAAAAGAACUUUGAAGAGAGAGUUCAAGAGUACGUGAAACCGUUCAGGGGUAAACCUAAGAAACCCAAAAGAUCGAACGGGGAGAUUCAUCGUCAGCGGCGCUGGCUUCGCGUCGGUCGGCGAUGUCCCGCGGAGUCCUUGCGGCUCGCGCGCGGGCACGCUACCGUGCGCCGAUGUCCGGCGCUCGUCGUCGUGCACUUCUCCCCAAGUAGAACGUCGCGACCCGCUGGGUGUCGGUCUACGGCCCGGGUGCGGUGUCUGUCGCGUCGCCGGUAAAACGGCACGCGACAAACCCUCGGUCGCCCGGCCGGCUGCUCGGCGGUACGCGCAAGGUAUCAGGCCGCACUAUUCACGGUGCGUCGAGACCGUCGCAAGCGCGCGCCACGGUACUCGGAGGUUACGGACUUCGCGCCGUCCCCGGUCCUGGCCCGCUGUUGGUUACAGUACGGUACACCUUCGACAGGCCUGCGAACGUCUCCCGCGGUCUCGCGGGAGACCGAUACCGGUCGGCGACGCUACUGCUUUGGGUACUCUUAGGACCCGUCUUGAAACACGGACCAAGGAGUCUAACAUGUACGCGAGUCAUUGGGACUUGUCGCGAGACCUAAAGGCGUAAUGAAAGUGAAGGUCGGCCCUGGCCGUCGACCUAGGGAGGAUGGGCCGCGUCGCGAUGCGGCCUCGCACUCCCGGGGCGUCUCGUUCUCAUCGCGAGAAGAGGCGCACCCAGAGCGUACACGUUGGGACCCGAAAGAUGGUGAACUAUGCCUGGUCAGGACGAAGUCAGGGGAAACCCUGAUGGAGGUCCGUAGCGAUUCUGACGUGCAAAUCGAUCGUCGGAACUGGGUAUAGGGGCGAAAGACUAAUCGAACCAUCUAGUAGCUGGUUCCCUCCGAAGUUUCCCUCAGGAUAGCUGGCACUCGGCCGUUCCGCACGGAACGCGCGCGAGUCUCAUCUGGUAAAGCGAAUGAUUAGAGGCCUUGGGGCCGAAACGACCUCAACCUAUUCUCAAACUUUAAAUGGGUGAGAUCUCUGGCUUUCUUGAAUUAUGAAGCCACGAGCAUCUUCGGAUCAGAGUGCCAAGUGGGCCAUUUUUGGUAAGCAGAACUGGCGCUGUGGGAUGAACCAAACGCAGAGUUAAGGCGCCCAACUCGACGCUCAUGGGACACCAUGAAAGGCGUUGGUUGCUUAAGACAGCAGGACGGUGGCCAUGGAAGUCGGAAUCCGCUAAGGAGUGUGUAACAACUCACCUGCCGAAGCAACUAGCCCUGAAAAUGGAUGGCGCUGAAGCGUCGAGCCUAUACUCUGCCGUCAGCGGCAAGUGGGGCGGCAACCGGGAGCGGGCGUUAGUCUUCUCUCGCGUCGUCACGAAGCCCUGACGAGUAGGAGGGUCGCGACGGUGAGCGCAGAAGGGUCUGGGCGCGAGCCUGCCUGGAGCCGCCGUCGGUGCAGAUCUUGGUGGUAGUAGCAAAUACUCCAGCGAGGCCCUGGAGGACUGACGUGGAGAAGGGUUUCGUGUGAACAGCCGUUGCACACGAGUCAGUCGAUCCUAAGCCCUAGGAGAAAUCCUAUGUCAAUGACGGCGUACAAUAUACUCGAGUGUCGAGAAAUAAUAAUAAAUAUUAUACGAAGGACACACGCCCGUCGGGCGAAAGGGAAUCCGGUUCCUAUUCCGGAACCCGGCAGCGGAACCGCAUACAAUUCGGGCCCUCGUAAGAGUGUUCGUCGGGGUAACCCAAAAUGACCUGGAGACGCCGUCGGGAGAUCCGGGAAGAGUUUUCUUUUCUGUAUAAGCGUUCGAGUUCCCUGGAAACCUCUAGCAGGGAGAUAGGGUUUGGAACGCGAAGAGCACCGCAGUUGCGGCGGUGUCCGGAUCUUCCCCUCGGACCUUGAAAAUCCAGGAGAGGGCCACGUGGAGGUGUCGCGCCGGUUCGUACCCAUAUCCGCAGCAGGUCUCCAAGGUAAAGAGCCUCUAGUCGAUAGAAUAAUGUAGGUAAGGGAAGUCGGCAAAUUGGAUCCGUAACUUCGGAAUAAGGAUUGGCUCUGAGGAGCGGGGCGUGUCGGGCUUGGUCGGGAAGCGGGUCUGGCUGACGUGCCGGGCCUGGGCGAGGUGAACGGUCGGC